UAAAUGAAAAUAAAGAAAAAGUUAGAUGAGGAUCCAACAAUAGUGAAAAAGUUAUAUACGCACAAAUAUGGUGACAAAAAUAGUGUAAAAGUUGAGGGUUAGAAAAUUAAGCAUUCAUCAAUCUAGACAUGCAACCAAAUCAAGUUAGAUGCGCAUCAAUCAUAUUUUUUCAAUAAGUAAAUCAAUUUUUUCUCUAGUUUAAUGUGAAUCUCAAUAUUAAUAGAAGCAUUUUCUUAAUAGAGUUUUAUUUGAGUAAAUUCCCUAAAUAGUCACCCAUGUUAGGGAAUUUGCCUUAUAAUAUCAUUUUUGUUUCUUUUAGGACCAUAAUAUCACCCAACUAUUUCUAUUUUCCUCAAAAUAUACUUGACAUAAUAUCAACAUCAUUCUUUCUUCUAAUAGGAUGCCAUGUCACAUAUGCCAUGUCACAUUUUUCUUUUUAAAUAAUAAAUUUUUUAACUUUUUAAACCACCGAUCUUUUACCAGAGAGAAGAUUACAAAAAGGCAUAUUUUUCUGUCCGAAAAAGUUUUCUAGGGUUCUGAGGCAACUUCUAACAUGGAAUCCUCUAGUUUUUUGAGGAAAUUGUGGGUUCUUCAACGAAUAAAUUAAUAAAUUUGCAGAAUAGAUUGUAUCCCUAGCCUCUGUAUACCUUUGAUGUCGACCAAGAGAUCGUCACGAGGGAGGUGUGCAUGUUGAAUCUAUUGAUUGACCUUCUUUUACAGCAAAGAAAGGAAGCCACUUUGAAAGAGAAGUCAUGACGAAUUAUGUAGUUUUGUUGAAGAAGAAGAAGAAGAGAAACUUUAGUAAAAUAUAGGGAUUAUGCAUUAGUUUCUUUUGUUAGUUAUGUGAAGCACUUAUUUAGACACGUCUCCGUGGUCAUAUUAUGGCGUGGUACAGUGUGAUGUUGCCACUUGCCUAUAAAACAUUAUUUAACUGUAAAUUAUAGCAAGUUGUGACACUUUUUUGAAGUA